rnacentral:lncRNA from 1 species
UCUGGGAUCCAUGUAAUACGUUUUUUUUUGGGGGGAUAAAACUGAUGAAAGACAAAGAAUAUUGAUUUCAUGUCCUUAUCAGUUGAGUAAAAUAAAUAAAUUUUCUGUUAAGCUUUAAUUGUUCCUCUAGUUUUGGGUUAAUCUAAUAAUUUGGUUUAGUGUAGGAUUUGAAGAAUUCUUUGAUUAAAGUUGAGGCCAAGUUAAAAAUUGACUACAUAUAUAGUUCCUUUCAAUUCUGGGAUCUUUUUGCUUACAAUAUUCAUGUUUUUUUUUUUUUAAAUACAGAUCAGAUUCAAACAAAGGUUAUAAGAUGGGAUCAGGUGAAUGGUGCCUUCAAAAAAGAGAUAGUUUAAGGAGUGAUUCAUUUUCAGGCAAUGAGAAUGUGCCUGAAACUGGUUGUCUCUCAAUAAUUGUUCUUGG